rnacentral:rRNA from 1 species
AAGAUGUAACGGGGCUAAGCAAUACACCGAAGCUGCGGCAAUAUCUUUUAGAUAUUGGGUAGGGGAGCGUUCUGUAAGCCGUUGAAGGUGAAUCGUAAGGUUUGCUGGAGGUAUCAGAAGUGCGAAUGCUGACAUGAGUAACGACAAAGGGGGUGAAAAACCUCCUCGCCGGAAGACCAAGGGUUCCUGUCCAACGUUAAUCGGGGCAGGGUGAGUCGACCCCUAAGGUGAGGCCGAAAGGCGUAAUCGAUGGGAAACGGGUUAAUAUUCCCGUACUUCUGACUAUUGCGAUGGGGGGACGGAGAAGGCUAGGUGGGCCAGGCGACGGUUGUCCUGGUUCAAGUGCGUAGGCUUGAGAGUUAGGUAAAUCCGGCUCUCUCUAAGGCUGAGACACGACGUCGAGCUACUACGGUAGUGAAGUCAUUGAUGCCAUGCUUCCAGGAAAAGCCUCUAAGCUUCAGAUAGUCAGGAAUCGUACCCCAAACCGACACAGGUGGUCGGGUAGAGAAUACCAAGGCGCUUGAGAGAACUCGGGUGAAGGAACUAGGCAAAAUGGUACCGUAACUUCGGGAGAAGGUACGCUCUUGAUGGUGAAGUCCCUCGCGGAUGGAGCUGACGAGAGUCGCAGAUACCAGGUGGCUGCAACUGUUUAUUAAAAACACAGCACUGUGCAAAAUCGCAAGAUGACGUAUACGGUGUGACGCCUGCCCGGUGCCGGAAGGUUAAUUGAUGGGGUUAGCGCAAGCGAAGCUCUUGAUCGAAGCCCCGGUAAACGGCGGCCGUAACUAUAACGGUCCUAAGGUAGCGAAAUUCCUUGUCGGGUAAGUUCCGACCUGCACGAAUGGCGUAAUGAUGGCCACGCUGUCUCCACCCGAGACUCAGUGAAAUUGAAAUCGCUGUGAAGAUGCAGUGUACCCGCGGCUAGACGGAAAGACCCCGUGAACCUUUACUACAGCUUGGCACUGAACAUUGAACCUACAUGUGUAGGAUAGGUGGGAGGCUAUGAAGACGUGACGCCAGUUGCGUUGGAGCCGUCCUUGAAAUACCACCCUUGUAUGUUUGAUGUUCUAACUUAGACCCAUUAUCUGGGUUGAGGACAGUGCCUGGUGGGUAGUUUGACUGGGGCGGUCUCCUCCCAAAGAGUAACGGAGGAGCACGAAGGUGGGCUAAUCACGGUUGGACAUCGUGAGGUUAGUGCAAUGGCAUAAGCCCGCUUAACUGCGAGAAUGACGGUUCGAGCAGGUGCGAAAGCAGGUCAUAGUGAUCCGGUGGUUCUGUAUGGAAGGGCCAUCGCUCAACGGAUAAAAGGUACUCCGGGGAUAACAGGCUGAUACCGCCCAAGAGUUCAUAUCGACGGCGGUGUUUGGCACCUCGAUGUCGGCUCAUCACAUCCUGGGGCUGAAGUCGGUCCCAAGGGUAUGGCUGUUCGCCAUUUAAAGUGGUACGCGAGCUGGGUUUAGAACGUCGUGAGACAGUUCGGUCCCUAUCUGCCGUGGGCGUUGGAAGAUUGAAGGGGGCUGCUCCUAGUACGAGAGGACCGGAGUGGACGAACCUCUGGUGUUCGGGUUGUGUCGCCAGACGCAUUGCCCGGUAGCUAAGUUCGGAAUUGAUAAGCGCUGAAAGCAUCUAAGCGCGAAGCGAGCCCUGAGAUGAGUCUUCCCUGACAGUUUAACUGUCCUAAAGGGUUGUUCGAGACUAGAACGUUGAUAGGCAGGGUGUGUAAGCGUUGUGAGGCGUUGAGCUAACCUGUACUAAUUGCCCGUGAGGCUUAACCAU